rnacentral:rRNA from 1 species
UACGGAGGGUGCAAGCGUUAUCCGGAUUCACUGGGUUUAAAGGGUGCGUAGGCGGGCAGGUAAGUCAGUGGUGAAAUCUCAGAGCUUAACUCUGAAACUGCCGUUGAUACUAUCUGUCUUGAAUAUUGUGGAGGUAAGCGGAAUAUGUCAUGUAGCGGUGAAAUGCUUAGAUAUGACAUAGAACACCUAUUGCGAAGGCAGCUUACUACGCAAUCAUUGACGCUGAGGCACGAAAGCGUGAGGAUCAAAACAGG